rnacentral:lncRNA from 1 species
ACUCUGGGCUAGAUAGAUGGUGCUGAAGACCUUUCCCAGCUGAGGCUCUUCGAAGCAGCUCCUCAGCAGAGAAGAGGAAGACAGGAAAGCAAAAGCGUGUCUACCCUGUUCUGUCCCAUGCUGCACUGUCAAGGACAAAGGUGUAAAAAGACAACACCUUCUGUGGACUAUGCAGUGUAUCAGGGAGGCACUGGGACAAAAUGAGAUCACAAGACCUGGAGAUCCAGAACCAAGAAACCCAAGAGCACCAAGGAAAAGGCAAGCUACUUGAGAGACAAGAAAAGAGUUGGGAUUUGCUGGAGAGCUUGAUGUACAAACUCCAUCCUCAAGAGAACUCCAACUCCAUCUAAUUUGUGCCUACAGAAUUACUGAGCGAUUGGUUGGCUGAGAUGGCCACUCCAGGUGCCACUGCAUUUCCUCCAGACCCCUUAAGAAUCCUGUUCUGCAUUGGAAUGAGGAUAGAAAGUCUCUGGAGCUUAUAUGCUACCAUUUCCCCUUUGGGCAUCAACAUGGAGAUGGAGGAAGUGUGUGGCUUUUCCAGCCGAAGCACCCUGGAGGGUCAACUCAAAGCUGGACACCCCAUGGUUUCUCCUGGCCAUACCCAUCCGCAGCCUGCCAUGCAGGAGGCUGGGGCUGGGAUGGGGCAAAUUUUCUUACAGGACUGGUGACUGGGGGAUGGGGCAAUGCACAACUGACACAGGGAAAGGCUGAACAUAGGAGGAAUGGGAUUCCAUCAGAGCAAUUUGCCCAGCUUUUUUCUUUAUUUCCUUAUACAUUUUUAAAGCAUAUGUAUUGCUAGUAAAAGUGCUGGCUGGACAAAGCUCA